GUGAAGAACGUAGCAAAAUGCGAUAAGUAAUGUGAAUUGCAGAAUUCAGUGAAUCAUCGAAUCUUUGAACGCACAUUGCGCCCGCUGGUAUUCCGGCGGGCAUGCCUGUUCGAGCGUCAUUUCAACCCUCAAGCCCCCGGGUUUGGUGUUGGGGAUCGGCUCUGCCCUUCUGGGCGGUGCCGCCCCCGAAAUACAUUGGCGGUCUCGCUGCAGCCUCCAUUGCGUAGUAGCUAACACCUCGCAACUGGAACGCGGCGCGGCCAUGCCGUAAAACCCCAACUUCUGAAUGUUGACCUCGGAUCAGGUAGGAAUACCCGCUGAACUUAAGCAUAUCAAUAAGCGGAGGA
rnacentral:misc_RNA from 1 species